rnacentral:rRNA from 1 species
UACGUAGGGGGCAAGCGUUAUCCGGAUUUACUGGGUGUAAAGGGAGCGUGGACGGCAGCGCAAGUCUGGAGUGAAAUGCCGGGGCUCAACCCCGGAACUGCUUUGGAAACUGUGCAGCUAGAGUGCGGGAGAGGUAAGCGGAAUUCCUAGUGUAGCGGUGAAAUGCGUAGAUAUUAGGAGGAACACCAGUGGCGAAGGCGGCUUACUGGACCGUAACUGACGUUGAGGCUCGAAAGCGUGGGGAGCAAACAGG